rnacentral:rRNA from 1 species
CGAGUAGGCGGGAUCAUAAGUCAGAUGUGAAAUCUGGGGGCUCAACCCCCAAACUGCAUUUGAAACUAUGAUUCUUGAGUGAUGGAGAGGCAGGCGGAAUUCCCGGUGUAGCGGUGGAAUGCGUAGAGAUCGGGAGGAACACCAGUGGCGAAGGCGGCCUGCUGGACAUUAACUGACGCUGAGGAGCGAAAGCGUGGGGAGCAAACA